GUCUCAGCUCGAGCAUUCCUAGCGCCAACACGCCCUCAGGUAAAGGUGGAAGUAAAUGGCCACGCUGUAUUGACAGAGCAGGUAGAUGAAACUCAAGAGAAAAGGUGUGGAUAAAUGAAACUAGCCCAUGAUGAACCUGUUUUCUCCGUGACCACAAUAUUAACCAGGAUGAAUGGCGGUGGCAGUGGGCCUGCAUCACAGGUUGCAGCAGAUGUUCUCAAUAUUUCUAUUAAAAUUUCCUUAUUUCCAUAUGCAAGAGGAGCCCCAGAGCUGCAUCCUUAUGGUAGCUACCAUGCCGUGAUGUAAGCUGCCAUUCACUGGGGAGCUUUGGCAAUAGAAUUGGCUAGAUCAGGAAGCCUAUGUCAACUAUGGAACAACAACUUGCAGCUCAUCUCUAUUGAUGGACCUCUAACAAUGAUAUUGGAAGAAUAGAUACUAAGUCUUGGAGAGGUGAAACAGUCGCAAAUGGAAUUCCAAGAAACAUUCUAUCAUCAGGUAUUAUCUACUGCUGUCUGCAGAAUUCAGACAUGGAGGGCUCAAUGGUGUCCCCUGGUCUUUGGAACAUUCUGUAUUUUAAUGAUCAUGAUACACUGCCUCUAGGACUGGGACAGAUAGCCACUGAGUACCUGCUUCAAAUCACCCUGCACGUUUUCUCUUUGGAAAGAUAAGCACUGGAGAACCAUCUCGUUACCUUCAGCAGAAAUGGAAACAAAUCAAGACAUUAAGAAUGCCGCAGUGGACAGCAGUUAUGCAAGGUUCAGCAGAGGAAGUUUUCAAGAUGGUGUGCCUCACUAGCCAGAAAUCAGAAAAGAUCGAAGCUAGCCUUUUCAUCUCAGCUGCUCCUUAAAUCAGUGCAACCCCUCCAAAUUAAUGUGAAUUGAAACUUGCAUUGCUUUUCAACUUAAUUGAAUACUUACUAUAUGUGAACCACUGCACAAAAUAGGGGAAGAAGAUGUGGGAGACAAAGAUGUGGAGCCUGUCUUCAAUAAAUUUACAGUUAGUUUCAGGGUACAUUGUUUUUCUUCUGCUGUUAAUUAGGUGUAUCCCCAAGACAAUAAAUACAUGAAUGGAAAAGUAUAUUCUGUGUUUUAAGUCUCUUUAAUAAAAAACAAAACAAAAUCCAAAAAAACUCCUAACAUGGCAACUCAGGACAUUUUAAUCCUUUUUUUUGUUGUUGGGCUUCUGAUAGGAUCCAUUUUAUUGAUUCCAUAAAUAUUUAGUAGACUUUAGACAUAUUAAUACAUUGUAGUUUGAGUUAAUUUGCAUUAAAUUCUGUUUUUUUCCCCUUAGGUAUAGAUUGUCUGUUGGAAAAAUAUAUUGCUUGUGGAUUUCUUGGGGAGUGGGAAGGUGAAUUAUACCUGUUGUCUCUACAGUCCACUACCUUCCACACCCUAGGGCAGUGGUCCCCAACCUUCUUGGCACCAGGGAUCAGUUUCCUGGAAGACAAUUUUUCUGUGGAUGGUGUGGGGAUGGUUUUGGGAUGGAACUGUUCCACCUCAGAUCAUCAGGCAUUAGUUAGGCUCUCAUAACGAGUGCGCAGCCUAGAUCCCUCACAUGCACAGUUCACAGUAGGGUUUGCGCUGCUAUGAGAAUCUAAGGCUGCCACUGAUCUGACAGGAGGCAGAACUCAGGUGGCAAUGCUUACUGGCCCACUGCUCACCUCUUGCUGUGCGGCCUGGUUCCUAAUAGGCCAUGGACCCCCACAGACGGGUACUAGUCUGCAGCCUGUGGACCCCAGCCCUAGGGGCCUGCCAUUCUGAGUGAGUUAUUAGCAUGAAGAAGAGGAAGAUCUGGAUCAAACGUGGGUGAUGGUACUCAGAGACCCAAGAUAGGAUAGGGAUGGAACAAAAUCCAUCUGGGCAACGGCUCUAUGAAAAUUUGGCUAAGUAAUUAUUUCAGUAUUCAUUGUAUUCAUUGUCCUUCGUGUUCCAUAAGUUAAAUGACUGUCUAAUUUUUCCAAAAAUUUAUUUCUGACUUGAGAAUAAGUGUGUCAUGAUUUUCCCAGUGUAAAGACACUGAUAUAACUGUAGAUACCAGACAUUUUAUGUAGUGUCUAUGACACAUUUUAGUAUGUAUGAGCCAACAAUAGACAUGUCUUUGUCUUGAGGAGUGUCCAUCUGAAUUGAAAAUGUGUCAGCUUUUUUUUAACAUCAUCAACAGACUUCUUAAUUAAGCUGCCAAUACAUACUGCCAAUAGCACUGUGUGCUGUCUGAGAAAUGCAUUGUGUAAGUGCUAUUUCCAUCUUAUUAAAUAAACAAUGUUGCUCUGUAUAAACUGGAUUUAAAGUGUUCUUUGAAUGAGGCAUUAUAUUGCUCCAUAAAUAAUGUGAUGUGAAUUCUCAUAUGAUCCCUUUUAACUUAAUUUCUAAAAAAAUAUUAUUUGCUCCUCAGUAAGGAAUAGCUCUAAUUGGACUGGUAACUUUAGUGAUAUGAUUUGUCUGUAACAGGCUGAAUCGCCCCACUCCCAAACUCCUGGUCGUGAUACUGGAUAUUUGUUAUGCCACUUUUAGUUUGCAUGAGGUAUCUUCCAGGAAGUAUUAGUUAUUAACUUGUGUUCUACUAAACUGUAGAUAUUUAUUUCCUGUUCUGGAAGAUUUCUUGGAGUGUCCAUCUGUGCAUUCCUGGUGCCUAGUGUAGUCUUGCUAAUGGAAUAGCACCUUUAUUGGUGCUACUUAGGGGUUGGUAGCUUACAAUCAAUCUACUUGGAACGUAUCCAAAUAAACUGGAUAUUUUUAUACA
rnacentral:lncRNA from 1 species